AUUGAACGCUGGCGGCGGGCCUAACACAUGCAAGUCGAGCGGAGCGGAGGACGGGUGAGUAAUGCCUAGGAAUCUGCCUGGUAGUGGGGGAUAACGUCCGGAGACGGGCGCUAAUACCGCAUACUAUCAGAUGAGCCUAGGUCGGAUUAGCUAGUUGGUGGGGUAAAGGCCUACCAAGGCGACGAUGCGUCACUGGGCUGAGAGGAUGAUCAGUCACAAUGGAACUGAGACACGGUCCAGAGUCAUACGGGAGGCAGCAGUGGGGAAUAUUGGACAAUGGGCGAAAGCCUGAUCCAGCCAUGCCGCGUGUGUGAAGAAGGUCGUCGGAUCGUAAAGAACUUUAAGUUGGGAGGCGUUACCAACAGAAUAAGCACCGGCUAACUUCGUGCCAGCCGCCGCGGUAAUUC
rnacentral:rRNA from 1 species